UUAAUCCCACUGAACCAUUUCACUAGACAUUAAAAUAUGAAAUACAUCAACAGUUGGUAGCAGUAUAGAGAUUGUUUUACACACAUACCUUAACUCAGUAAUAACCUACAUACACCAUAUUUUUGCUUAGAGUUACAACUUUGGACACACUGUAAGUACACCAAUAAACAAGGUUCAGGGGAAUUUGUUAAACGUCCACUAAAGUGGCGCUUCUUCUGAAGCUAUUCAUCAAGCUUCUAAGAGCAGUUGGUGUCGUAGGUAGCGAGUCCCAACAACUCCGGACCUUCAAGUCGAGGAUUGUGCUCGAAAUUGUUUAGAGGAAUAUGCUCAAAUGGACCAGAAGUAGGAAUUGUUCCACACAAAUCAUUAUUCGAGACAUCCACAACUUUCAGGCUAGAAAUGCUAGUAAGUUCUCUUGGGAUUGGUCCUGUUAGCUUGUUAUCAUUUAGACGCAAGAAAACAAGGUUUUUCAGGUUUCCAAGUGAAGUAGGAAUUGUCCCCGAAAUAUUGUUGUUGUACAGAUCCAGACUAAUAAGGCUCUUCAAGUUACCGAGCUCCUUAGGGAUGGUU
rnacentral:misc_RNA from 1 species